UCCCCUGUAGCUCAAUUGGCAGAGCACUCGACUGUUAAUCGAGUGGUUAUUGGUUCGAGUCCAAUCGGGGGAG
rnacentral:tRNA from 1 species